UACGUAGGGGGCAAGCGUUGUCCGGAAUUACUGGGCGUAAAGGGUGCGUAGGCGGCAGCCUAAGUCAGAUGUGAAAUCCCCGGGCUUAACUUGGGGGGUGCAUUUGAAACUGGGCAGCUAGAGUGCAGGAGAGGGAAGCGGAAUUCCUAGUGUAGCGGUGAAAUGCGUAGAUAUUAGGAGGAACACCAGUGGCGAAGGCGGCUUUCUGGACUGUAACUGACGCUGAGGCACGAAAGCGUGGGGAGCAAACAGG
rnacentral:rRNA from 1 species